rnacentral:rRNA from 1 species
CGGCCGCGUCGACAUCCUGGCUCAGAACGAACGCUGGCGGCAGGCUUAACACAUGCAAGUCGAGCGCCCCGCAAGGGGAGCGGCAGACGGGUGAGUAACGCGUGGGAAUCUACCUUUUGCUACGGAAUAACUCAGGGAAACUUGUGCUAAUACCGUAUGUGCCCUUCGGGGAAAGAUUUAUCGGCAAAGGAUGAGCCCGCGUUGGAUUAGCUAGUUGGUGAGGUAAAGGCUCACCAAGGCGACGAUCCAUAGCUGGUCUGAGAGGAUGAUCAGCCACACUGGGACUGAGACACGGCCCAGACUCCUACGGGAGGCAGCAGUGGGGAAUAUUGGACAAUGGGCGCAAGCCUGAUCCAGCCAUGCCGCGUGAGUGAGAAGGUUUUCGAAUUGUAAAGCUCUUUUGUUGGGAAAGAAAUCCAG